rnacentral:rRNA from 1 species
CAGCAGCCGCGGGAAUACGUAGGUGGCAAGCGUUGUCCGGAAUUAUUGGGCGUAAAGGGCUCGCAGGCGGUUUCUUAAGUCUGAUGUGAAAGCCCACGGCUCAACCGUGGAGGGUCAUUGGAAACUGUUAAACUUGAGUGCAGGAGAGAAAAGUGGAAUUCCUAGUGUAGCGGUGAAAUGCGUAGAGAUUAGGAGGAACACCAGUGGCGAAGGCGGCUUUUUGGCCUGUAACUGACACUGAGGCGCGAAAGCGUGGGGAGCAAACAGGAUUAGAUACCCGAGUAGUCCCUGUCUCUUAUAU